UACAGAGGUCCCGAGCGUUUGUUCGGAUUCAUUGGGCGUUAAGGGCGCGAGUAGGCGGCGCGACCAAGUCAGGCGUGAAAGCCCUGGGCUCAACCCGGGAAUUGCGCUUGAGACUGGUGUGCUCGAGUACGGGAGAGGAUAGUGGAAUUCCCAGUGUAGAGGUGAAAUUCGUAGAUAUUGGGAAGAACACCGGUGGCGAAGGCGGCUAUCUGGACCGUAACUGACGCUGAGGCGCGAAAGCGUGGGGAGCAAACAGG
rnacentral:rRNA from 1 species